GAUGAACGCUGGCGGCGUGCCUAAUACAUGCAAGUCGAGCGAACGGACGAGAAGCUUGCUUCUCUGAUGUUAGCGGCGGACGGGUGAGUAACACGUGGAUAACCUACCUAUAAGACUGGGAUAACUUCGGGAAACCGGAGCUAAUACCGGAUAAUAUUUUGAACCGCAUGGUUCAAAAGUGAAAGACGGUCUUGCUGUCACUUAUAGAUGGAUCCGCGCUGCAUUAGCUAGUUGGUAAGGUAACGGCUUACCAAGGCAACGAUGCAUAGCCGACCUGAGAGGGUGAUCGGCCACACUGGAACUGAGACACGGUCCAGACUCCUACGGGAGGCAGCAGUAGGGAAUCUUCCGCAAUGGGCGAAAGCCUGACGGAGCAACGCCGCGUGAGUGAUGAAGGUCUUCGGAUCGUAAAACUCUGUUAUUAGGGAAGAACAUAUGUGUAAGUAACUGUGCACAUCUUGACGGUACCUAAUCAGAAAGCCACGGCUAACUACGUGCCAGCAGCCGCGGUAAUACGUAGGUGGCAAGCGUUAUCCGGAAUUAUUGGGCGUAAAGCGCGCGUAGGCGGUUUUUUAAGUCUGAUGUGAAAGCCCACGGCUCAACCGUGGAGGGUCAUUGGAAACUGGAAAACUUGAGUGCAGAAGAGGAAAGUGGAAUUCCAUGUGUAGCGGUGAAAUGCGCAGAGAUAUGGAGGAACACCAGUGGCGAAGGCGACUUUCUGGUCUGUAACUGACGCUGAUGUGCGAAAGCGUGGGGAUCAAACAGGAUUAGAUACCCUGGUAGUCCACGCCGUAAACGAUGAGUGCUAAGUGUUAGGGGGUUUCCGCCCCUUAGUGCUGCAGCUAACGCAUUAAGCACUCCGCCUGGGGAGUACGACCGCAAGGUUGAAACUCAAAGGAAUUGACGGGGACCCGCACAAGCGGUGGAGCAUGUGGUUUAAUUCGAAGCAACGCGAAGAACCUUACCAGAUCUUGACAUCCUUUGACAACUCUAGAGAUAGAGCUUUCCCCUUCGGGGGACAAAGUGACAGGUGGUGCAUGGUUGUCGUCAGCUCGUGUCGUGAGAUGUUGGGUUAAGUCCCGCAACGAGCGCAACCCUUAAGCUUAGUUGCCAUCAUUAAGUUGGGCACUCUAAGUUGACUGCCGGUGACAAACCGGAGGAAGGUGGGGAUGACGUCAAAUCAUCAUGCCCCUUAUGAUUUGGGCUACACACGUGCUACAAUGGACAAUACAAAGGGCAGCGAAACCGCGAGGUCAAGCAAAUCCCAUAAAGUUGUUCUCAGUUCGGAUUGUAGUCUGCAACUCGACUACAUGAAGCUGGAAUCGCUAGUAAUCGUAGAUCAGCAUGCUACGGUGAAUACGUUCCCGGGUCU
rnacentral:rRNA from 1 species